UACGGGGGAGCAAGCGUUGUUCGGAUUUACUGGGCGUAAAGGGCGCGUAGGCGGCCACCGCAAGUCAAUUGUGAAAUCUCCGGGCUUAACUCGGAAAGGUCAACUGAUACUGCGGGGCUAGAGUGCGGAAGGGGCAACUGGAAUUCUCGGUGUAGCGGUGAAAUGCGUAGAUAUCGAGAGGAACACCUGCGGCGAAGACGGGUUGCUGGGCCGACACUGACGCUGAGGCGCGAAAGCCAGGGGAGCGAACGGG
rnacentral:rRNA from 1 species